AAAAUAUCAAAAUAAUAAAGGCCAUAUCUGACAAAUCUACAGCUAAUAUCAUACUUAAUGGGCAAAAACUAAAACCAUUUCCCCUAAAACAGGAACAAGACAGGGAGGUUUGCUUUUAUCACUCUUAUUCAACAUAGUACUGGAAGUCCUA